rnacentral:tRNA from 1 species
GGGGCUGUAGCUCAGUUUGGGAGAGCGCUACAUUCGCAUUGUAGAGGCCGUCGGUUCGAGCCCGAUCAGCUCCA